rnacentral:rRNA from 1 species
GCUGGCGGCAGUGCCUACACAUGCAGAUUCCUAGCGGCAGCGGAAAGUAGCUUGCUCCUUUGCCGGCGAGCGGCGGACGGGUGAGUAAUGUCUGGGAAACUGCCUGAUGGAGGGGGAUAACUACUGGAAACGGUAGCUAAUACCGCAUAACGUCGCAAGACCAAAGAGGGGGACCUUCGGGCCUCUUGCCAUCAGAUGUGCCCAGAUGGGAUUAGCUAGUAGGUGGGGUAACGGCUCACCUAGGCGACGAUCCCUAGCUGGUCUGAGAGGAUGACCAGCCACACUGGAACUGAGACACGGUCCAGACUCCUACGGGAGGCAGCAGUGGGGAAUAUUGCACAAUGGGCGCAAGCCUGAUGCAGCCAUGCCGCGUGUAUGAAGAAGGCCUUCGGGUUGUAAAGUACUUUCAGCGGGGAGGAAGGCGUUGGAGGUUAAUAACCUCAGCGAUUGACGUUACCCCGAAAAAGCCCGGCUAAAUCCGUGGCCAACAGCCCGGGAAAUACGGGAGGGUGCCACCGUUUAUUCCGAAAUUUUG